rnacentral:pre_miRNA from 1 species
AGUGGAGUUGCUGGAUCAUACAAUCAUUUCAAAUAUUUUGAGGAAUUGCCACACUAUUUUCCAUAGUAGUUGCAUCAUUCUGCAUUACCACCAGAAGU